GCCUUGGUGGCGGAAUUGGUAUACGCGCUAGCUUCAGGAGCUAGUUCUCGCAAGGGAUUGAGAGUUCAAAUCUCUCCCAAGGCA
rnacentral:tRNA from 1 species